rnacentral:rRNA from 1 species
UAGAGAGAGACAUGCGCGCAUAUCAAUAAGCGGAGGAAAAGAAACUAACAAGGAUUCCCCUAGUAACGGCGAGUGAAGCGGGAAGAGCUCAAAUUUGAAAUCUUAAAGGGUUUCCCUUUACGAAUUGUAGUUUAAAGAAGUGUUUUCUGUUGAGGUUUUGGUAAAAGUUCUUUGGAAUAGGACAUCAUAGAGGGUGAGAAUCCCGUAUUUGACCUUUACUUUCAACUUUGUGAUACACUUUCAAAGAGUCGGAUUGUUUGGGAAUGCAGUCCAAAAUGGGUGGUAAAUUUCAUCUAAAGCUAAAUAUUGGCGAGAGACCGAUAGCGAACAAGUACCGUGAGGGAAAGAUGAAAAGAACUUUGAAAAGAGAGUUAAACAGUACGUGAAAUUGUCAAAAGGGAAGCGUUUGACACCAGUGUUGUUUUUCUGAAAAUCAAUUAAAGAACUGUUUAUGCUAAGCUGUUUAGACUUUAUCAGCUAAUCUGUUUAGUUUUGAGCUUUUCUUUAAUGCACUUUUCAGUUAACAAGUCAACAUCAAUUUCUUUUGCUGUAAAAAAGCUUGAGGAAGGUGGCUUGAGAUUCGUCUUAAGUGUUUAUAGCCUCUUGCCUAUGCAGUCGGAGAGAUUGAGGUCUGCAGCGUAGAUCCUUCGGGGCUAAAUGCAUUUGUGCUAAGUUAUAGCAUUUUAUAGACAACUUGUUGACUAUGAUUUGUCUUGUAGCUUACUCGCUUAUGUUAUUUUACCUACGCUUAGGAUGUUGACGCAUGAGAUAUACGC